UCUCCCACGUAGUUCUCAAGGCUAGUGAGCUGGUCUCUACCCACCUCUCUCUGUCUGGAAAUCACCCUGCAUGAUUCCUGCUACUUACUCUAAAUUCCAGUCUGUACCCUGACCCCCGUCCAACACACAGAGGGGCUUCAUGACUCAGGAUCACUGCUCUUCUGAUUUAUUCCCCCAUUAGAAGACUCAGUCAGUCAUUAUUUAUCCAGCAGACACAUAAUGAAUUCUUACUAUGUGAUAUGCCCUGUACUAGGGUACAGCAGUGGAGAUGGACACUGUCCUAGCCUCAAGGAGCUUAUAGCCCAGCAGGGAAACAGAUCCUAAACAAAAAAACCAAGGAGGGAUGGGGUGGGGGGGUGGCCGAUAGAGAAUAACCUCCCUACGAAGUAAUAUUUGAGCUCAUCUGCAUUUUGGUACAAUAUCCUCUCCUGCUUCUUUGUAAACUAAAAUGAUUUACAAGUGGCCCUUUUUUUUUGGAGAAUCAGUCCUUUCGCCUGAGAUGAGAUUUUGCCCUGCGCUUCCUCUUUCUAGAAUUCACAAUCUCAGCAAAAAACUAAUCGGAUUCAAAUAGUCAGCAUUCCUAAGCACCCCCAUCCCCACCCCCAGCACAUCACCCUAAGGCAGAGCAGAACUGCCCUCCCCCUUCUCAGGACUCCAGCUGACAUCAGGCACCCUCACCCUUCCCUAACUUGCCCCCCACCCCCGGGAUGGGCUGAGAACUCCUAAGGGCAGGAACAUCCUCCCAUCUCUCAAUCCCCCACUAGACACAGUGCAGGCCCACAGAAAAUGUUUAAAUGUCAAAAAGGCAAAAGUUCACUCUUUAAAGGUAAAUUACUUUCUAUAUUGAGCCUAACAGGGAGGAAGAACUAUAUUUUUCUACUUUAAAAUGCCUAUCACUGAAUUUGUUAGAAUGCAAUAUAAUAUUUCUUAAAUUUAAAACACAAACAGAAUCACUAAAGUAAAAAAGUACUUUUUUACACUAAAGUGUACAUUAUUUUACCACUUUCUUAUUUAGGAAACUGAGAUUACAUUUUUUAAACUCUAGGGCUUUUUCUUUACAAGAUGAAAUCUUAUUCGCUGCUGUAUUCCCAGGCCCUAGAAUAGAGACAUAUGUCAGGCACUAGGUUAAUAUCUGCUGAGUGAAUAAACUGCUGUACAAUUACAAAACAGGUGCUCAGAGGGAAUAAAGUAUCUAAUGGCUGCUUCACAAACUCACAGAAGAAAAAAAUCACUGCAGAAGGUAUCUUAACACUAUAGUUACUGAUCUAAAAUGAGUAAAGUUUUUUUUAAUGUAAACUCUUAAAGAUCAUACAAACUCUCAUCACAUAAGCAAUCUUCAAACUACCAAGUUUACCAAGGAAAGGGUUCCUUCCAAACCAGUUUAAUUCACAACCUGGAGUCUGGCUCAUGCCUGGUUAUGAGGAAAAUAAUUUAAAAAUAUAUGAAAACUUUGGGGAAAACACAGAUUCUCUAAUAGAAGAAAACUCAAUAACGGCCAAUGAGCCUUAAUUUUGAUUUAUUUAAAAGUACUUAUUUUGGAAGGUGAUAAACUUUUAGCAUGGACUACUCAAUCACUUUCCUCUUUUCUCUAAAGACUCAGUCCCCUAACAAACAGCCUUUUUCUCUUCAGAUCCUGAAAGAAGGCCCCAAAGAUGAUGGUAGGCCCUCCGUGACUGCUGAUGCUGACGGGAGAGGUGAGAUAUUGGAAGAUCAAAAGACAACCAAGGCAUCAGGCCUAAGGAAAAAGCCUUGAACAGGGUGGGCGUCUGGUUCUGAGUUAGCCGUCGAACCUUGGAAUGGUAUCGUACAGAGCCCGAAAGUCGGCCGGUCACCGAGACAAACGCUCCAGCUUCUUGCUCCACUUCUAAAAUGCUGCGUCUAAAUAACUGUAUAGGGCGUUUUAACUAUAAAAGAAAAUAGAAGACGCAACAAAAAGACAUGACCAAGCGGCCAGCUCCUGAUGUACCCAACAGCUCUAUGAACUCCAUGCUGUCUUGAGUUGAGAGCCCAGCUUGCUGGUUCCCUUAAGCCUCUGGUGACUAUCACACUGUAUUGUGUCAUUUAUUUCUCUGCCUCACCCACUAGGUAUUAGGGCAAGUACCUAUUUUUAAAAAAUGUUUAUCCCCUACUUGGCAUAAUGCCUGGCACAUUCUUCUUGAAAGCUUUAUGUAAGCAUUUAAAUACUCAGCUUUACAAAACCAGUGGAAUGCAGCAGGUACUAUGCCAGAUGCUGUUACAUGCAUUACAUACCAUGUCUCAUUUAAGCUUCAUAACAACCCAUGAAGAAGUGUUACGGGCAAUAGGACUUUCAAGGCCUAGAAAGCAGUGUUUCCAGUUUUCAUUUUUAAAAUAGUAAUGGCUACUGAUGGUAGAAGACCCCCAAAACAAUUUCAAGAUUUGUUGAAACAGAUUAUUAAAGUCUCAGUGGGUGAUGUAACCCAGGAUUAUAUAAUCAUAAAAUCUUUGAGCUACA